GCUUACGACCACACCGGCCUGAGUACGCCUGAUCUCGUCUGAUCUCGGAAGCUAAGCAGGGUCGGGCCUGGUAGUACUUGGAUGGGAGACUUCCUGGGAAUACCAGGUGCUGUAAGCU
ensembl:rRNA 5S_rRNA 5S ribosomal RNA